CAAUAGCGUAUAUUAAAGUUGUUGCGGUUAAAAAGCUCGUAGUUGGAUUUCUGUCAAGGACAACUGGUCCGCCCCUCGGGUGAGCACAUAGUUUGGUCUUGGCAUCUUGUUGGAAACUGUUGCUGCACUUGGUUGUGUGGCGCAGUGUCCAGCACUUUCACUUUGAGGAAAUUGGAGUGUUUCAAGCAGGCACAUGCCUUUGGACACAGUAGCAUGGAAUAAUUAGAUUGGGCUUUUGCUCCAACUUGUCGGUUUCUGGAGCUGAGGUGAGAAUUAAUGGGGAUUGUUGGGGGCAUCCGAAUUUAGCCGUCAGAGGUGAAAUUCUUGGAUCUGCUAAAGACGGACAACUGCGAAAGCGUUUGCCCAGGAUGUUUUCAUUGA
rnacentral:rRNA from 1 species